rnacentral:pre_miRNA from 1 species
AGUGGGAUAACUGGGUCAAAUGGUGGUUCCAUUCCAAGUUUUCUGAGCGACCCCCAUACUGCUUUGCAUAAUGGUCACACCAAUUUGCAGUCCCACCAGCAAU